rnacentral:rRNA from 1 species
UACAGAGGUCUCAAGCGUUGUUCGGAUUCAUUGGGCGUAAAGGGUGCGUAGGCGGCGCGGUAAGUCGGGUGUGAAAUCUCGGGGCUUAACUCCGAAACUGCAUUCGAUACUGCCGUGCUUGAGGACUGGAGAGGAGACUGGAAUUUACGGUGUAGCGGUGAAAUGCGUAGAUAUCGUAAGGAAGACCAGUGGCGAAGGCGGGUCUCUGGGCCGAAAUUGACGCUGAGGAGCGAAAGCGUGGGGAGCAAACAGG